rnacentral:rRNA from 1 species
UGGGGAAUAUUGCACAAUGGGCGAAAGCCUGAUGCAGCAACGCCGCGUGAGUGAUGAAGGCCUUCGGGUUGUAAAGCUCUGUCUUCUGGGACGAUAAUGACGGUACCAGAGGAGGAAGCCACGGCUAACUACGUGCCAGCAGCCGCGGUAAUACGUAGGUGGCAAGCGUUGUCCGGAUUUACUGGGCGUAAAGGAUGCGUAGGCGGAUACUUAAGUCAGAUGUGAAAAUCCCGGGCUUAACUUGGGAACUGCAUUUGAAACUGGGUAUCUAGAGUGCGGGAGAGGAAAGUGGAAUUCCUAGUGUAGCGGUGAAAUGCGUAGAGAUGAGGAAGAACACCAGUGGCGAAGGCGACUUUCUGGACCGUAACUGACGCUGAGGCAUGAAAGCGUGGG